UGUGUAGGCGGUUUUCUAAGUUUGGUGUGAAAUCUCCCGGCUCAACCGGGAGGGUGCGCCGAAAACUGGGAGACUAGAGUGCGGGAUGGGAGAGUAGAAUUCCUGGUGUAGCGGUGAAAUGCGUAGAUAUCAGGAGGAAUACCGGUGGUGUAGACGGCUCUCUGGACCGCCACUGACGCUGAGACACGAAAGCGUGGGUGAAC
rnacentral:rRNA from 1 species